rnacentral:lncRNA from 7 species
CUAUUGCAGAGAGCCAGGGACAGACGAGGGAGUUGUUGCUGGCAUGCAAAAAUAUGGAGAACAGAGACAGCUGAGGUUAAAACAGAGACUGUUCUUCAGAAAAAUCUAAGUCUUGUCAGAAAGAGCAUCCCAGCAUCUGAGAUCACCAGCAGUUCUCUUUCUUUCUGAUAGAUAAGAACACAAUCAUAGACAAAGAAAUGCUAACAACUUAUUUUGAGAGUCAUUCUGGAGAAACAUUUCUUCUUACUGUAUCAGCAUUGUUAUAAUCUUCAGUGUAUUGUUCAAAUGCUAAGUUCUUCAGUUUUGAAUGUUAAUGGCAGCGUGACGUCUCAGAGGUUCUGCACCCUGUUUUUAGAGGCAAGCACUCAAGAAAAGCCUGCUUCUCUGAUGACAGCAGGAGUUACACACACAGUUAUACAAGAAAACAUCUGUUGAACUCCAUGUAACCUGAAAAACAUACGUGGUCUGGUCUAGAAAUCUGUGGGAGAGUAAGUGCAGGAUCUGGUCCCUAAAGCUGCUCCAUCACGUUGCCAAGUAACCAGAGGAGUAAUAUAGUUUGUUUUCCAUGGAGGGCAGGAAGAAUCAAAGUGCUUGUGUGAAGGAUCACAGAGCCUAAGGAAAUGUGUGAUCAGUGAGGAGACUGAAACCAGCAUGAUCCUGCCACUUAGAGACAUUCUGUACCCUAAGUUAGGUAUUAACAACACAAACAAGACUGCAAUCAAAAACAAAGCCAAAGAAGCCCUGCAGUGUUCCUGAAGAACAGUAGCUCACUACAGUUCUCAUGUGAUAACUGAAUGUGAACUAAUAGCGAGCUGACAAUACACUUUCAUGCUUUAUGAAAAGGAGUAUAUGAGGGAGCUGACAAGAGUAAGGAGACCUGGAAAUGUUCCCUGGUCACUUCAGCCUUGUCACUGUCACUUCUUCAGACAGCAAGCAUCUGUGGGGAAGAGCGAGCUGGAGGAACCUGCUCUAGGGAAUCUGCACCAUGUCUGCAUACAGGCUGGGCAAGACUUGCAAGACACAAGUAGACCAUUUGUCUUUGGUCCCAAAAGAUCGUGAAUGCCUGAAAUGGUGCUGCAGACACUAAGAAUGCAAGAAGGAACUUUCAAAUCAAGAAUUUCAGGAGGAAAGAUAAAAGGUUUUGGACUUUUCAUUGAAGGUAGAGUUCAUUCAUGCUUUCCAUUGUUUUCUAUAUUCCUUGCUCUUUACUAUAGGAUACUUUCCCACUUGACAGUAAAAAAAGAAGAGACAGUUCACAUCUCUUGCGACAUCCAACCAGAAAAAAAAAAAAUGCAGCUAGUUUAGAUGAGCAUUUAAUGGAAAUGUAAAGUUAUAGAUACAGAAGUCAACCUCUUGUUUUACAGUUGUGCUGUCUGUAAAACAUUGGAUUCCUAGUCCACCAUCAAUUACGGAUAUUACCACAGUAACAGUAUACAGUCAGGGUGUAUUUUUCCCUAUGUAUAAUAAAUUAACAUGGUUCACAUAAAUUCCUGAAUUGGUACUUAUGUCCUUUUGUUAUCACCUCUGAUACUGGAUACAUGGAAUCAGGGAAGUCAUUUUUCUCUGCCUUGGUUUUGCUUUGUUUCUAAUAUUCCCUUCAGCUGGAAAAUGAUUUUAGUUCUCUAUUACAAAAAUGUGAUAUAAAUCUAGUCCUGAGAAUCUUAAAAUCUGUAGGAAACAGCUGAAUAAAUGGAGUUUAUUAAAUGUGACUUCCUACAGUCUUAGUGAGGACUUCUCUAACAAUUAAAGCCAGAAUUCUCAAAUGGCAGAAGCUUUUUUAGUCUGUCCGUUCUCAGAAGUGAUUCAACCUCUUAGCUUAGCCCAGAACGUGUGCAGAAAUGCAUCUCCCACAUUAUUCAGAUGGUGUUAAUUGAGGGCUUUCUGCUUUCCUAACAAAAGAGGUGAUAAAUGUCUCUCCCUUUUCGUUUAAAAUCUUCACCUCCUACAGUAGUUUCAGUGUGUUUGAGUGGAUAUAAUAAGUAGACUGCAGAAAUUAAUUAAUUAUAUGUGUUAACUUCUCACUUUUUGCCUUUGUUGAAUCUUCUCUUUUUUCCCUCGGCCUUGACUUUUGCAAAAUUAAAGUUGUCUCCCAGGGUGUAUAGCUUUUAAUUUGACUCUAUACUGUAUUUAGCUGCUGCAGCGCGUCAAGCAUGUGGAACAUUUUAACAAGGAGUUUUUAAUGAAUCCCUGGGAAGAAAGUGCCCUCGAAAACAAUACUUCAGUACGUAAGCACUUAUAUACUCUGCAACAAUAAAAACACAACACAU